GCUGGCAGACAGUUCCGCUGGACAGAAUGUAAAAUUCUACUUUUCCAUUUCUUCAAAGGCAAUCUUGCCCACUUUAACAUUGUUUCUUAUGCCGCUUCCUAGAGCACAUCCCAUCUUUCCCACUCGUCUGCAGUUCCAUUUGGCAGAAAUACGUCCAUCUGAAGAGAUGCGUCUAUGGCUGCAGUGCAUAAGCCAUAAGACUUAAGUGCCUUCUCGAUUUUGGAGAAAAACUACUGUACAAGCUGCGCAUUUCAGUCCGAAAACUAUUUGGAACGCUAUUCCCUUACCUCAGUAGAGGACAUCGUGACAAAAUGCAGGCUUCAGUAAGAAUUCCUCUGUUUACAGCCAACACUUCAUUACCCAGGCACUUGACUGUGGGAAGAAAAUGCACAAAAUCUGGAGAAGAGAUGACACGCAAAGCACCUAAAACAAACCCGAGGAGUGAGUGCUACACAGCCGAGAAUACAGAACAAUGUCCCGGAAUUUUGUCAAAAAGUAAAAGUCUAAAAGUUCGGCAGCCGGGAGCUUCUCCGCAAUUCGAACUUUAGAGGUUAGUUGCAAUUUUAUUGACAUUGAUAGUCCAAAUUCAAAAUUCCAUCAGAUGAAAUUACAACUUCCGCUUCCGGUUCGAACACUCUAGUUCCCAGUUCGAACUUAUGGAAACCCUGAAAAAGUGAAAUCACCAAAAACUCCGCGUUUUUCCGCGACUAGCGACUUUCACUUUGUUUCUUCGCCGGACGGCGACUUCUUUUCAAAUUUUCUUUUUUGGCACUUUCCUUUCUCAUCACGUCCACGUUGGUUGAAUUUGAUCUACAUUGAUUUUGUGCUCGCUGCUAAGAAAGGUCCAGUGACUUUGUCAUGGAGCAAGGCAUUUAUGCAGACUUGGUUGAGGGCUCUUGUCGUGUUUCGACUCUAGCGAAUAAUUGGAGAGAUUCUCACUCAACCGAUCCUCAGAGAUGCCGAAAUUCUUUUUAUGAACUUAUGUUUUGUUGUGCUAGAAUAGCAUUUAAUAAUACAGUCUCUGAAACAUUGAGUUCUCUUCAGUCAGAAUUGCCUGCUGCUGAAAAAAACUGUCCAAUCCUAGAUAGACACUUUAGCGCCCGUUUGGAGAUCUUUCUCAUUCUUUGUUUCAAAGAUAUUCCCAUUGAACUCUUGCAAGAUGCAAAUUUUUGGGAUACUGUCACAAUCAUCACGAAUAAAUUGAUGGAGCGUCACGAGAAAUGUAGUCGUUAUGCAGCAGCCAUUUUUGGUCUUAAAAUUAUGGAUGCCAUGAUUGUUGCGCACGACGAGCUCGGUAAUCCUGAACUUGAAGGGGAUGAUGAAGACCAAGAAACUACACCUCCGGGUGGGAUAGCUUUGAGAAUCUUCCAAACUCUGUUGAAGGCUUGUUUUCACCUUGCUUACAAGGAUGUUGAAUUUGGUAUCAAAAUGAAAGCGCUAUCAGCUUUGAAGAAAUGGAUGUCUAAGUACCCUGAAAUGAUCUUACAACCUCUUUACUUUCGCUACGUUUCAUGGAGUGCUUUCUCCAAAACUAAAAAGAUCAGAAUUCUAUGUCUAGAGAUGUCAAAGACGAUCUUUGAGAGGUCAGAGUCUGAAGAUAUCCAAGUUUUCGCUGAAAGAGAAAUUCGAGUCCUCAAUUGGCAGCUUACAGUUGAGAGCCCUGAUGAAAUUUGUUUAGCAACGGAAUGUUUGAUUCUUAUCUUCAAAAAUUAUCCCUCUGUCGCAGAAGAAAUUCGCCUUAAUGACCUUUAUAGCAACAUAUUUCACAAAAACAAAGCUGUUGCCCAAGUUACGGCCAAGUUCAUUCUUGAGACUCUAAGAAAAAAUAACAGUCCCGAAACUACUGUUAUCUCUCUUGCUCGUUUUGCUGAGAAAGUCUUGAUAAGUGACCCCUUAUUACCCGAAAGGCGUCUUUCAGACCAUGAGCUGAUAGAGUCCCUGCGUAUUUUCGUGAAUUCUUUCUCUGAAAUCUCUGAAGAAAUUUUCGACGUUGACGCACUGGUCGAGAUUUUCAAACGAGACAACGAAACGCCGUCUUUCAAGCGCUUCACGGCGUCUUUUCUGAAAGCCAUCGCGCAUGAAGCCAAUGAACCUACUUCGUUCCGAUCAUCAGGAAAGGAUAAUGAAGAUGAGGAAAACGACAACAGGAAUUUUGCUGUCAAAGUAACUGAUGAACUUCUGAAGUGUCUUGGCUCCAUUAUUUCCACUCACAGAGAGGACAAAAUUAUUUUAGAAAACAUGCUGAGCAUAUGCCAAUUCUUCCAGUGUGAUGAUGAUUUGCCCUUCAAUAAUGAGGAUUUGGAGAAUCUCCUGAUGAAAAUAAUUUACAUCUUCAGUUAUUCAACUGAGCCCAGCGUUAAUGAAAAUUGUGUGAAAGCCUUACAUAUAUUAAGCAAAAAAUGUACUAAAGAAGAAAAUAGGAUUGCGUUCAAUGCUAAAACCAACGCUUUAAUCGAUAGUCUUGUCCAAGAGCUUGAGAAGUCAUUCGAUCUUUGGGAAUCGCAGCUCCCAAUGGGCUCUACAGCUUACUAUGAAGAACUGACAUCCAUCCAAAGAAAAUUAUUUUACUUGCAUCCUUAUUUCAAAAUACCUCUGACAACUUUUAGAGGUUGUGAGAUUUUUGUCACUUAUUUUUGUCUGAUAUUUAAUUCAGGACCAGAGAUUUUGAGCGAAAUAACCAUUUGGCAGGAGGUGAUUGAGCUUUCUCUUGAAAUGAUGUUCAACCAUGUAAAAUCUGCUAUAGAGGAAGAAGAAAAUGAAGAGCUAAUGAAGCAUUGCGUGGCAGUGUGUCUCCAGUACUUCCCUACAUGCAUGCGCUACCGGUGCACCUCAAAUCCAUCUGUCUAUUUUGUAUCGUCUUUCACCUCUAGUUUCCGCAUCAUGAAACUGCUCUCCGAAAAGAAAUUGAUCGAAGAACUAGUUGACCAAGAGACAAGAAAGAAGAUGGAUCUCUCUCUCCUUCACUUCAUCAAAAAACACAUGGUACCCUUCCAAGAUGACACCACAACAAAUAUGAUGGCGGAGUUGUGGGCAGAGUUUUCAGAGUGUCUUUUGAUUCCUGGAUUAGUAUCCUUUCAUAUGCUCUUCGGCCUGCUAGAUGUUGCGGUUGAACAAGCGGAAAAUUCAGUUUUCCAGAAGGCUUUAAUAGCAACCCUAGCCGUCCUUUUCAAUCAGAAAGAGAAACCUGAAAUUUUCUUUGAAUGUUUGUUGCGAUUCUUAAUCACGAUUUUUAGACGUUCAACUUCUGUGAAGCUCCUGAAUAAUGCAAAGGCUGUGUUUGCUGAAUUAGCAAAGAAAGUAGCAAAAGACGACAUUCAGAUCAGCUUUGGAUUCUACCAUUUCCAUAUCGAUGCUAUGGACAGGAUUAUCAAUGGUAAUCUAUCGCCUGAAUUCUUGCGAUGCUUGAAAAUAGCUCUUUGUUUCUUGGAUUUUAAAGCCUCUGAUGAUCUGAGAAGAUAUCUUCAUGAAAACGUAGAUCAAGGUACAUUGAGAAAUUUUUACUUCAAAGCUUACUUAUCUCAGUUACAGCGAAACACACACUUAUGAACGUACAUCUAUUCUACUUUGUUGCCAAAUGUAUAUUAAACGUUAACUUAAUGUAUAUUGGAAAUUGCGAUUAUAGAUCAUCUAUUUAAUUACUAACAGUUGAUGAUUCCAUUUUAGUUGCAAAAAUAGAGAAAACUCUCAAGUUUACCUUCAGUUAAUUUUUAUUGUACUGCCAACAAGGUACGUGCAAGAAAUGAAUGUCCCAAAAUAAUAUAUCAGAGUACUUUCCACUGCUGUCAUUGUGUAUGGCUGCCGUUCUUGUCAUGAAUACAUUUGUAUUUCGGAGAAUAAGGAGAAAAUUUCUUAAAAGAAUUUGACCAUCUCAUGCAUGAAAAUUUUAUUUUAUUUCGUAUUUUUUGCCAUUUUGACACAGGAUUUCUGGCUUCUCAUACAAAUUACUUUUAUUUCUAUUGUGCUGUAGUUUAUACAUUUCAUUUUAUUUUUAAGCUCUUGACCUUUCAUAUGUAAAUCUUAAAUAAUCGAAUGUCCCUAUUUUAUAAGAAUAAUGCAAAUAUGCCUGAAAAAUUCUAAUGGUAAUUUUAUCGUCUCAUGCAUUUUUCAUUUGACCGUUUUUGGUUUUAUUCCAAUCUCAUUUCAUUUGUUAAUUUUUUUUGGAAUGGUGAGAUAGCUUCUCUUAUAAACUACCCUGUCUCAUGUGAUCUUGAGACAGGUACAGGUUUUCUGACUUCCCUUGUAAUAAUGUUAACCCAUAUCAGUGAAAUUUAUUUUUUGUGCCACAGAGCCUCCAUCAAUCUUGAAUCUUUAUUCAAUCUUUUAUUCUUGCAUACCUUUCAUGUCAUAAAUAUUGAAAUUUCCACCUGUUAUUUUCAAUAAAUUUGUUUUCAAUCACAACUAAUUUCAAAUAUUCUUUCUGUCCUUCUUAAACAUCUUUAUAAAGAACCAUAUUAAACUAUGCUUAAAGAAUCAGGAUUUGUUGAUUUUUGGGGAAGCAUAUAUUAUUCACAUGCUUUAAAUGUAUUUGGAUGAGCUCAUUAAAUCACUUUCAAGCAGCUAAGGUUUAGCACCCUGUCAAUUUCAUCUCCGCUUGUUUUACCAGAAGUAAUUGAGCUGCAUUUAAAGGUACAAUUUGGGCUAGGCUCUUUAGCAGUGUUCGAAACUCACAGGCGCCAAAGUCACCUAAGAAAUCGGUCAUGACGCCAAAAAAAUGAAGGCUCUGCGCCAACAAGCCCCUAAAAAAAAUCCUAAUUUUUCUGUUUGGUGACUUUUCGAAAUUUCCCACAAGUUACAGCUACUAGUUCUGUGACUAAAACAUCUUGCGUCCAACUUUUCACUACAUGCGCCUUGAUAUGUAGGCAAAAAGUGAAUUUGGCCCCUAAAAAUUGAGCUUGCUGCACCGCAUGGCUCCUGAAACUCAAAAGUGAGUUUCGAACACUGCUCUUCAGAAAUGUCCAGUAUAAUCAAAA
rnacentral:lncRNA from 1 species